ensembl:misc_RNA 7SK 7SK RNA
CAACAAUCUGGCUGUGACACCUGUGACCCACUGACUGCCAGGGUUGAUCUGGAUGAUCUAGCUGGCUACGUGGGUGACUCCUCACUCCUUUACCACUCCAUGUGUGUACCUCCUGAAGCUGCAUGCUUAGCCAAGAAGACAACCACCCCUGACAGAGGACCAUUUCCUCGGUCCAAGGUAUAGGAGUAGCUGCACUUCCCUACUAGACCCUCAAAAUAAGCUCUUAAGAACCUGUAACUAAAAGUGACAUCAACUUCCAAAAUCACAGGCACUAUCAGGUACCACCAUCAUUAAGUCAUAUCU